ACGCUGGCGGCGCGCUUAAUACAUGCAAGUCGAACGAGAAGCCAGAGCUUGCUCUGGUGGAAAGUGGCGAACGGGUGAGUAACACGUGAGAAACCUGCCCCAAAGAUUGGGAUAAGCCUUGGAAACGAGGUCUAAUACCAAAUACCUUCCUUUUAACACAUGUUAAAAGAGAAAUGCUCCGGCGCUUUGGGAUGGUCUCGCGAUCUAUCAGCUUGUUGGUGAGGUAACGGCUCACCAAGGCAUCGACGGAUAGCUGGUCUGAGAGGAUGUCCAGCCACAUUGGAACUGAGACACGGUCCAAACUCCUACGGGAGGCAGCAGUAGGGAAUCUUGCACAAUGAGGGAAACCUUGAUGCAGCGACGCCGCGUGCGGGACGAAGGCCCUAGGGUUGUAAACCGCUUUCAGUAGGGACGAAAGUGACGGUACCUACAGAAGAAGCCCCGGCCAACUAUGUG
rnacentral:rRNA from 1 species